ensembl:lncRNA
GAGCUGUCCUGUCAGAGACACUCCUGACACCUUACACUAUCACAUCUGAAAUAUACAACCUUAAAAUUUCAGGACAAGCGAUCAUGAGAGCGUUUAGCAGAAAUCUGCUCAUCACCGUCUGUCUUCAUCUCUUAGGUGAAGGCAUUGGACAGCGUAAAGCAUGUCAACAGUCAACAUGUUUGUGCGAUGAACCUAUAGAUGUUCUGCAAAACUGCACAAUAAAAGAUUUGAAUGUGACCAUGUGCCCCUCUUCCACCUCAGUUGAAAAGGAUACGUCGGUGACUGUGACCUGCAUUCAUAAUGUUCCCAACAGCUCCAUCAGCUGGCUAGUGGACGAUGUGUUACAGCAAAAGGAAAAUAAUACAAAAACACUUCAUAUCAAGUACAUUAAAAAAACCUCAGUCAUCAGCUGCAACGUCAGUAGUAUAUGUGGGAACUUCAACUCUACUAUAACAAUUAACGUAAAAGAUGGUGAUAUUAUAAUGGUUUUACUGAUUUGUGUUGGAGCAGCAGUUGCUCUCCUCAUGCUGUUUGCAAUAGUCAUGAACAUCAGUCUCAAGAGAGGACAAGCUAAGAGUCAGGCCAGGAAGAGACAAAGACAGCAGAACCUGCAGAACAUCCAAAGCACUGUGAACACCGUCAGCAGCUACCACUGAAAGAGAGCAUUUCUACCACUGAAGCUCCUGAUUCAGAGCUGUUACAGUUCUACACUCAAAAAACAUUUAGACCUAAAUUUUAAGAUUUAUGUUUUUGACUUGCAUUUAAAAUUUCCAUCCAUUUGGAUUACAGUAAAUAUUCAAAAUAAUUAAAAUAAGUUUUGUUUACUUUUUUUUUUUUACUUGCUUUAGUUAUUUCUGUUUGAUAAAUGAUUUGGUGUGAAGUUGACUCACUGAAUAGAGGGCUAUGGAAUGGAAUGGCUUGGUUUUUUUAAGUUUAACUUGUUAAGUCAUCCUAAAAACACAUGCAGAAAUGAACAAUGUGAUAUAUAGCAGUCCUCCACAGUGAUCAGUGAAAAUAGCAAAUGAAGGAAGAUUCAUUUUAGCACCGUUUUGGGUGCAAACUGUUGCAAUUGUUGGGUGCAAUUUUUAUUAACUAAUGUUAAUAAAGAGUUAACAAAAAGUAAUAAAUACUGUAAC